AGUCCCCAAAGUACGUCCUCUCAGCAGAAGGAGCUGCUGGCAAAUGAAAACAGGGGAUUCCACGUGCAGUGCAGAAAGCCUCGAAGGGAUCCAAAGCCCUUGGUGGCAGAAAAAGAGAAGAGCAGGUGAUGUGGAAAUCCUGGAAAAGACAAGGAUGUACCUUUCCUCGGGCCUGGUGAAUAAAGGUAUCCCAGGGAAGUGAGCAGAAAAGGUGCACUACAAAGAGUCUGGGCCCUCACAAGACAAGUUCACGUUCCAGAAGGGGAGAAUGGCAGUUACUUUCUCAAGGAUGGGAGAGGGACCAGUCCAGUCUAGCAGCUAGACUGUCAAAGGGAGGCACAACCGGAGGAGCCCGGCAAGAACCUGCCAAGCACCCUUCCCUGGAGCCUCGCUAAGCAACCAGCCACCGGUCAGCUGUAUGGACCGCCUCAGACUUUCAACGAAACGCUGCGUGCUUCAGGGAGAGGGCGAGCCCAAUGGUGACCCUGAAGUCGCGGUGCAGCUCCUAGCUGCAGUCCAGGUUUCUCUUGCAGCACGUGGGUCUGCGAAAGUCAUUCCAAGAGGUUCCAGGGAAAAGUUGAACCGGCUUACUGGGUGAAUGAGCAGUUUCAACCUCGAAUCUCUCACGAAAAUUUAUUUGAUUUCAAGUUUAUUUUAUGACGAAACCGCAAAUCAACAAAAUCCGAAAGCCUGCUCUAUUAGGGUCCUGGGGAAAGAUAAAUUCGUUUGAAAUGGUAUCUGUCAGAGUAUCUUACACAAAAUAAACUACUCCAAAUAAGACUAACUGAAGCAGCAUGAAGGAAAACAGCUUUGAGGAUAACACAUUAGAAGUGGUGGUUAAACGUUAAUGCUUUUCUGAGUGAGUCGCUUAGACCUUUAGUUAUUUGUUAUAAAAAUAUAGUCAUUCACACAUUUAGGCUGUUUUCUCCAAAACUCUGAAUCAAGCACAAACUGCAUUUUUCUUUCUCAGGGGCUCUUUUAUUGGAAGUAAUUGUGACACAUCAAAUUUAAAUGACUUCUUAAAUUGCUGGAGAAGGGAGAGGGCAACAAUUUAAAAUUAUUUUACUUUUAGAAAUACCAUCCUCAAAGUUCUAUUGCUCAUUCCAAACCCGGCAACAACAACGAUUAAAUACAAUGUAAAACAUGUUUCCUUUCACACGGGGACAACAAAAAAGGCAGAUUAUCAGGGCCCUCUUUUGCAAGUUUGUUAAAGUUGUGUGAAGUUGAGCAAAUAAAUAAUUCUAUUCAUCUACGGUCUAUAUUUCCAUUCUCCUCCCUGACACAGUGAGGGAAAAGAGAAUAUUUUAGCUCCACGAAGUCAAACCAAGGAUAAUGUUACAAUGUCAAAUUGAAUAGAGUCGUGAAAUUGGUGGAGUUACACCACCAUCUGUCGUUAAACUCUGGGACUACAAAAUUUGGGACCUAUAAUAAAUCUUAAUGAACUUUCUCAACUUAAAAAAAGUAAAAUCACAAACUAAAGUCUCCACCUAUAUUUUUGUAACAUGAAGUCUGAAAUUAUCUGACAAAUAUUUUCUCAUAACCCAUACUGCUGGUCAGGUUCCCUUUUCAGAAAGCAAAUAGCCCCUACCUGUUACAUUCCAGAUACAACUUUUUCAAAUCAGUUGUGGGUCUGAAAAGUUCUAUUAGCCCAUCAUGAACACUUUGCUUCCUGUAGACUGCUGAGAAGAACCUUAGAGACCAACUUCAGGGACCACCAAAGUCCUGGAGUGAGUUGAAUGACAAUCUUCUCUUUAAAAUAGCAGUUUAAUCCUUUGUUAGUAUAUUUCAUUGCAACACACUAAGAAAGAUAAGAGGUUGGCUGUGUAAAAAAUAAAAAAUGACUACAAGGCAUUCAGUACCCAGUAUUAGUUCAGAGUUAGACUUUUUAGAAAGACAGAUCAGUCUCUCUGGGACAGAUUUUUACAGGCUAAGAAGAUUCUGUUACAAGGUAUACUUCCUCAAAAUUAACAGGAAACAAAGGCAACUAGUAGAAAAAGCCUUCCAAUUCUCAAUCAGAAGCUCUCCUAAAAUGUUGAAAAUGCUUUUUCACAUAAUACUCAAAAAUAUUUCUGCUACAUAUUCUCAAAACUAUAAACAAAACAUCUUACUUACUAUGUGCAAUGUU